CGGGGAAUAUUGCACAAUGGAGGGAACUCUGAUGCAGCGACGCCGCGUGAGUGAUGAAGGAAUUCGUUUCGUAAAACUCUGUUCUAUGGGAAGAAAAGGACUGUACCAUAGGAGAAAGCUCCGGCUAAAUACGUGCCAGCAGCCGCGGUAAUACGUAUGGAGCGAGCGUUGUCCGGAAUUAUUGGGCGUACAGGGGGCGCAGGCGGCUUUACAAGUUGGAUGUGAAAUAUUGUGGCUCAACCACAAACGUGCAUCCAAAACUGCAAAGCUUGAGUUAAGGAGAGGUAAGUAGAAUUCCUGGUGUAGCGGUGGAAUGCGUAGAUAUCAGGAGGAAUACCGGUGGCGAAGGCGACUUACUGGACUUAAACUGACGCUCAGGCACGAAAGCGUGGGGAGCAAACAGG
rnacentral:rRNA from 1 species